rnacentral:rRNA from 1 species
CACGUAGGGCGCAAGCGUUGUCCGGAAUUAUUGGGCGUAAAGAGCUCGUAGGCGGUCUGUUGCGUCUGCUGUGAAAACUCGGGGCUUAACCCCGAGCCUGCAGUGGAUACGGGCAGACUAGAGGUAGGUAGGGGAGAAUGGAAUUCCCGGUGUAGCGGUGAAAUGCGUAGAUAUUGGGAGGAACACCGGUGGCGAAGGCGGCUACCUGGACCGGUACUGACGCUGAUGCGCGAAAGCUAGGGUAGCAAACAGG